GACGAACGCUGGCGGCGUGCCUAAUACAUGCAAGUAGAACGCUGAAGCUUGGUGCUUGCACCGAGCGGAUGAGUUGCGAACGGGUGAGUAACGCGUAGGUAACCUGCCUGGUAGCGGGGGAUAACUAUUGGAAACGAUAGCUAAUACCGCAUAAGAGUAGAUGUUGCAUGACAUUUGCUUAAAAGGUGCAAUUGCAUCACUACCAGAUGGACCUGCGUUGUAUUAGCUAGUUGGUGAGGUAACGGCUCACCAAGGCAACGAUACAUAGCCGACCUGAGAGGGUGGUCGGCCAGCCUGGGACUGUGACACGGCACAGACUCCUUCGGGAGGCAGCAGUAGGGAAUCUUCGGCAAUGGGCGGAAGUCUGACCGAGCAACGCCGCGUGAGUGAAGAAGGAUUUCGGAUCGGAAAGCUCUGUUGUAAGAGAAGAACGAGUGUGAGAGUGGAAAGUUCACACUGUGACGGUAUCUUACCAGAAAGCGACGGCUAACUACGUG
rnacentral:rRNA from 1 species